GACGAACGCUGGCGGCGUGCUUAACACAUGCAAGUCGAACGGAAAGGCCCUGCUUUUGUGGGGUGCUCGAGUGGCGAACGGGUGAGUAACACGUGAGUAACCUGCCCUUGACUUUGGGAUAACUUCAGGAAACUGGGGCUAAUACCGGAUAGGAGCUCCUGCUGCAUGGUGGGGGUUGGAAAGUUUCGGCGGUUGGGGAUGGACUCGCGGCUUAUCAGCUUGUUGGUGGGGUAGUGGCUUACCAAGGCUUUGACGGGUAGCCGGCCUGAGAGGGUGACCGGCCACAUUGGAGCGGGGAACGGGCCAAGACCCCACGGGGGGGCAGGGGGGGGGAAUAUUGCCAAAGGGGCGGAAGCCGGAGGGAGCACCCCCGGGGGGGGGAUGAGGGCCUUGGGGUUGUAAACCGCUUUCGCCUGGGACGAAGCGGGGGUGAGGGUAAUGGGAAAAAAAGCACCGGCAAACUAGGU
rnacentral:rRNA from 1 species